GCCAGCAGCGCGGUAAUACCAGCUCCAGCAGCGUAUGUUAAAGUUGUUGCAGUUAAAAAGCUCGUAGUUGGACUUGUGUGCGGCGUCGACCGUGGUCUGCGUCCAAAAGGGCGUUGCGACAUACGACGACGCCGCCGUAAAAUCUUCAACUGGAUGGCGCCUGGGCUUAAUUGUCCGGGCGCUGCCUGAUUCGGUUGAUCGUUUACUGUGAGAAAAUUAGAGUGUUCAAGGCAGGCCGUAUGUGCAAUUGAAUAUGUUAGCAUGGAAUAAUAAGAUAGGGCUUUCGCAUUUUGUUGGUUUCUAGGGCGGAAGUAAUGAUUGAUAGGGACGGUUGGGGGUGCUAGUAUUCAGCGGCCAGAGGUGAAAUUCAUGGAUUCGCUGAGGACUACCUUAUGCGAUAGCAUUCACCAAGGACGCCCUCUUUAAUCAAGAACGAAAGUUGGGGGAUCGAAGACGAUCAGAUACCGUCGUAGUCUCAACCAUAAACUAUGUCGACUAGGGAUUGGCGGACGUUUUAUGUUAAGACUCCGCCAGCACCUUAUGAGAAAUUAAAGUGUUUGGACUCUUGGGGAAGUAUGGUCGCAAGGCUGAAACUUAAAGGAAUUGACGGAAGAGCACCACCAGGAGUGGAUUCAGCGGCUCAAUUUGACUCAACACGGGAAAACUUACCAGGUCCAGAGAUGUAGGGGAUUGACAGAUUGAAGACCUUUCUUGAUCACUUCGGUGGUGGUGCAUGGCCGUUCUUAGUUGGUGGAGUGAUUUGUCUGGUUAAUUCCGUU
rnacentral:rRNA from 1 species